GAUUCCCCUAGUAACUGCGAGUGAAGCGGGAAAAGCUCAAAUUUGAAAUCUGGCAGUCUUUUUUUUCUUCUUUGGCUGUCCGAGUUGUAAUCUAGAGAAGUGCUUACCUGCGCUGGACCAUGUAUAAGUCUCCUGGAAUGGAGCCUCACAGAGGGUGAGAAUCCCGUCUUUGACAUGGACCGCCAGUGCGUUGUGGUGCGCUCUCAAAGAGUCGAGUUGUUUGGGAAUGCAGCUCUAAACGGGUGGUAAACUCCAUCUAAAGCUAAAUAUUGGCGAGAGACCGAUAGCGAACAAGUACCGUGAGGGAAAGAUGAAAAGGACUUUGGAAAGAGAGUUAAACAGUAUGUGAAAUUGUUGAAAGGGAAACGCUUGAAGUCAGUUAUGUCGGCUGGGGAUCAACCUAGCCAUCUUUUUGGCUGGGUGAAUUUCCUAGUCUGACAGGCCAACAUCAGUCUUGACUGCCGGAAAAGAGCGGAGGGAAUGUGGCACCUUUGGGUGUGUUAUAGCCCUCUGUCAUAUGCGGCAGUCGGGACUGAGGGAUGCAGCGUGCCGCGAGGCUGGGUUUCGACCACGUUCACGCUUAGGAUGUUGGCUUUUAAUGGCUCCAAUCGACCCGUCUUGAAACACGGACCAAGGAGUCUAACAUGCCUGCGAGUGUUUGGGUGGAAAACCCUUGUGCACAAUGAAAGUGAAAGUUGAGAUCCCCGUCAUGGGGAGCAUCGACGCCCGGACUUGAGCUUUUAGCGACGGAUCCGCGGUAGAGCAUGCAUGUUGGGACCCGAAAGAUGGUGAACUAUGCCUGAAUAGGGCAAAGCCAGAGGAACUCUGGUGGAGGCUCGUAGCGAUUUGACGUGCAAAUCGAUCGUCAAAUUUGGGUAUAG
rnacentral:rRNA from 1 species